rnacentral:rRNA from 1 species
AUACGGAGGAUCCGAGCGUUAUCCGGAUUUAUUGGGUUUAAAGGGUGCGCAGGCGGGAGAUUAAGUCGGCGGUGGAAUUUUGCAGCUCAACUGUAAAAGUGCCUUCGAAACUGGUUUCCUUGAGUGUAGAUGAAGUAGGCGGAAUUUGCGGUGUAGCGGUGAAAUGCAUAGAUAUCACGAGGAACUCCGAUUGCGCAGGCAGCUUACUAAACUACUACUGACGCUCAGGCACGAAGGCGUGGGGAUCAAACAGGAUUAGAUACCCUGGUAGUCCACGCAGUAAACGAUGAUUACUAGCUGUUUGCGAUACAAUGUAAGCGGCUGAGCGAAAGCGUUAAGUAAUCCACCUGGGGAGUACGUUCGCAAGAAUGAAACUUAAAGGAAUUGACGGGG